rnacentral:misc_RNA from 1 species
CUAUGUAGUGCAGGAACCGGCAUCACAUAAGGGCAAAUGGACUCAGGUGUUCCCGAAAGACCAGCCGCUUCAUAUCGAAGUUGGUAUGGGAAAAGGCCGCUUUCUUAUGGAUAUGGCGAAGCUUCAUCCGGAGAUCAAUUAUGUAGGGAUCGAGAUGUAUGACAGUGUGCUUCUCCGUGCACUCCAGAAGAGAGAGAGACUGGAGGAAGAAGGAGAGAAGCUUACAAAUCUGAUGUUCAUGU